GAUGUAGACAAGUGCGACUUAAAUAAUUAUAAACGUUUGCAACAGGUAUAAGCAUACAAUAUUAUACGUAGGUAAUUGCAUAAAAUUUGUAACAACGUAGCUAAUUUUCAUGCCAAUCGAACGCUUUAAUUGAGACACGACAAUCAUGUAAAUCGCACAUGGAAUGUAAUUAACAUAAAAUUAUCCAUACAAAUGUGUAAUUGGUUAAACAGUUUGAAAACAAUCUGUGCCCACGUACGAAAUAGUUUUAUAAACACAAGGAAAUAAACAAACUUAUAUAACGACCAGCCGCAUAACAAAAAUCAGUAAAUGGGUAUAAAUAUCGGGAGAUUAUAAGAUAAAAAGAAAUCACAGAUGUUCGCAAUACAUUUAAUAAUUCCUUUCCGCCUGCGUACGCAGGUUUUCUCCAUACAAAUGAGUCAAAUAUUUUAUAUUGCCGAAAGUUUUCCAACAUCCAAAUGAUUCUGAAUGGAGAAGCCGAGCCACCAUGUUCGCAUCAACAUCCUACGUCCAGUGCACACGGCACACCCGUCUGAACCAGUUAAUCUCUAAAAUAUUUUUUCAACGCCCAAAAUAGACAGUAGCUUAAGCUUUCAUGUGGCGACUCACUACACUUUUGUACGCCUCCAUUGCCAAAGAUGGACUGAGGUCGGGUUGCGCACCAUCAUCGAGCUACAAUGCACGCAAUCGAAUAUCCAAUAUUUUCAUCUAUUGUCUCCGAAAAAACUUGUAAUUUAUUAUCUCAAGUGUUGGACUCUCAAACGCGACAUUAAUUGACUUUAAAUGAUUUUUUCAGUAUCCGCCAAAAUGCAACAAGCGGUCGUAAAUUAUUAUUAUAUUUGUGCGAUCUUCGUUUGUUAUGUGGAAAACAUAAAACUCUCGCGUUUUACUGCCGUGAAUAUUUUCGUGUUUAUAUUAUUUCGUGGUUGGCUGGAUCAUGCAUGUGCGGUUUUGACUUACAU